CUUUGACCCCGAUUUGUGUGUCAAACAUUUGCAGACGUGAAUGUUGACGGCGCUCACUGUGCACAGGACAAAGCAGAAGACAAACAAGAUGGAAACUACGAUGUUUUGCCACGUGGAACUAGAAAAUGCAAAACGUCUGAGAAUAUGUACGAUGUCCCUGCCUGUUACUGGAGGGCUGCCGACCAACAAGACGAAGAUCCCAAUGACGGCGUCUAUGACGUACCAAGCUGCCUUUUGAGGAAGAUGUGUGAUCACACUUUGGGUAAAUUUAUCUUCAAGUUGCAUCAAACACAUCUGAUGAGUCAGUCAUUUAAUUCUUACACAUAUUACCACACAUGACACCUGCAAACGUUUUCCUCCUGAUUGUCUCGAGCUUCAGCUCUGUCGUUGCAGAGGAGCAGCUGGGGGAGACGAGGAGUCCAAUGGAGGAUGGGAGGUGCAAGUCGGUGACCUCAGAGUCACCGUACCUGUGUCUGUAGGAACCGACCAUGUUCUUUGUAAGGUCGCCAUCACUCCUCGUCACAUACACACACUCACUCAGUCAAACCCCCCCCAAAACAACAGAGGAUCAACAGUGGUAUUUAUUUCACAUAUUCCAUACCCAACAACCGCAUCAUCGGUUUGUUUUUAAUUCCACAUCACGCUGCAGGUCAGUCACACGCUGUUCACUGCAGAUAAACACAUUUACACCACAUUUGGUUCACAGUUUAAACAAUAGACCACCAGUCUACAUAUUAGUGUGUUACACUUUGGAGUGGUUUCACAGAAAUGCUCUAACUCAUCUUUUCAAAACAGAAAAUAACCCCUUUUUGGGUCUCAGAUGAGGUAUGAAUUCUAACAUCUCUGUAUGUAGGCAUGCAGUGGCUUUCUCCCCAAUUACCAAUAAUUAUACUCCUCUUAAAUGUGUUACUUUUGUUGAGGAUAUUGUUCUACAGGAUAUUAAUAUGAACCUUUAGACUACAAUUUCUUGAUAUAUAUGAUCAGAAAUCAGUCACAUAGUGCUGCUCGCUGUGCUGGUGAAUGAAAAAAAAAAAAAAAAAAACCAUAUGCAAAAAUUACAGUCCCAUAUAUUUACAAUACCGCCCUUCCUUAUUUAAAAAAAAAAAAAAAAAAGACUUCUAAUAUAACCAGGCAUGCACAUAACUGAUGCUCAGGAGCUUAUGCAUGCCAAAAAUACAUGAUGUGCAGCAGAAAACAAACACUUUGAAAACUAUGACAGAUUGUGAGAAAAGCAUUUCCCUCCACGUUUUCUGUUGUAUAUUAUGUGUUCUUAGCACACAUGAGCACCAGUUAUGUGCACAGCUGAAUAUACCUUUACAUUACACACAGGAGUAUCAACUGCACAAAAACAAUAGUACGCUUAGCCAGUAUGCAAUCUUCAAGUACACUUUGCUCUCUGUAUAUAUGUAUAUAUAUAUAUAUAUAUAUAUAUAUAUAUAUAUAUAUAUAUAUAUAUAUACACACACACACAGUAGUGUUCAGAAAACUAGUAGUGCUAUGUGACUAAAAAGAUUAA